CCCAACUAUACCUAUUAAUCAUUAGUCAAUCCUAGAAACCAACAAAAUAAGAUCGAAAGUCCUAUUUCAUUAUUCCAGGCUAAGGUAUUCAACCGAUACCCGGCUUUAAACACUUUAAUUUUUUCAAAGUAACAUCCCAGUUUCCCCGCAACACCAAAUUAAUGGCAUUACGGUUCCUCAAGAAAAGAAGGGGCCCGACAGACCAGUAAAUACCAGGGGCAAACCAACUACUGACCCAAAAAUUCAUCAAG
rnacentral:rRNA from 1 species